UUUUUUGGGGGGCAGUUGAUUUUUAAUAAUCUAACUUGUAAAAAAAAUUUGAAAAUAUAAGGUAGAACUGGUAAAACAACAUGUGCGUGUGUGAGUAACUUUUGAAUUAAAGUUUCUUUAUGUUAAGUCGUUUUAUAGUUGCACGUGGAAUCGCUCGUUCGUCGGCACUGCCAAAUAAUACAGAAUCUAAUAUGCUGUGAAGAUAACAUAAAACACGCGGCAAAAUACUUCUGUAGUUGCUUUACUCUGUUACUAGCGCAAAAGUUUUGCACAAUUUAUUUGUUUUUAUUUUUAGUCGUUUUGCGGUUGCUCGUAGAAAUGCUAACGCAACUGCACUGUGAAACAGGGCUCAUU
rnacentral:lncRNA from 1 species